UAAUAGGAUAACUAUAUUUGAUAUGUGCAUACCUUGCAAGGUCCUCAUGUCUGUCAGACAGUUUUCACUUGACCUCGACCUCAUUUCAUGGAUCAGUGAACAAGGUUAAGUUUUGGUGGUCAAGUACAUAUCUCAGAUACUAUAAGCAGUAGGGCUAGUUUAUUCGGUGUAUGGAAGGACUGUAAGGUGUACAUGUCCAACUGGCAGGUGUCAUCUGACCUUGACCUCAUUUUCAUGGUUCAGUGGUUAUAGUUAAAUUUUUGUGUUUUGGUCAGUUUUUCUCACACUAUAUGCAAUAGGUCUACUAUAUUUGUUGUAUGGAAUGAUUGUAAGGUGUACAUGUCUAGCGGGCAGAUGUCAUGUGACCUUGACCUCAUUUUUAUGGUUCAGUGGUCAAAGUUAAGUUUUUGAGAUUUGGUCUUUUUAUCUAAUACUAUAUGCCAUAGGUCAACUAUAUUUGGUGUAUGGAAAUAUUUUAUGAUCUUUAUGUCAGUCGCGCAGGUUUAAUUUGACAGUGACCUCAUUUUCACGGUUCAUUGCAGUGUUAAGUUUUUGUGUUUUGGUCUAUUUUUCUUAAACUAUAAGUAAUGGGUCAACUAUAUAUG
rnacentral:lncRNA from 1 species